GCACAUACAUAUACAUAUAUUGCAUUGUAAACAAGAAAAGAAGGAGCAAAAGAAUAACCCACUACACGGCAUAGGAAAACGAAAUAGUAAAUACUGCAGCAGUCAGCAAAAAGUCAGGUAACUGCGCAGCAAGCAACGCUGAGCAAUAUUGGCUUUAACAACGACGCAGCUGCGCGUCAUCAGGAAAAUAAAAACAAAAGCGGAAACAGAGCCCGACGAAGCAGAGUCACAUAGACCGGCAGCAGUAGCGUAGCGUAGCGCAGCAACAACGCCGCAGAAAACAUUCUCUUCUUUGCCGUCGUGGAGUUAACAACGUACCUAUUAUUUCUGGUUCAAGAGCGUCGUCGUGUUGAAAAAUUCCAAAUUUGCAGUGUUUUUCGGGUUUAGUGUUUUGAAUUAUUUUGCAUACAUAUAAAUAAUACAAAUUAUUUAAACUGAAAUUGUGUUACACAAGUGCCAAUUGUAGUUCAAAUUGGUCGGUGAAGUAGCAUCGAGGCAGGGGUUGAGACUUAAGAAAUUUGAGU